CGUAGGUGGCAAGCGUUGUCCGGAAUUAUUGGGCGUAAAGCGCGCGCAGGUGGUUUCUUAAGUCUGAUGUGAAAGCCCACGGCUCAACCGUGGAGGGUCAUUGGAAACUGGGGAACUUGAGUGCAGAAGAGGAAAGUGGAAUUCCAAGUGUAGCGGUGAAAUGCGUAGAGAUUUGGAGGAACACCAGUGGCGAAGGCGACUUUCUGGUCUGUAACUGACACUGAGGCGCGAAAGCGUGGGGAGCAAACAGGAUUAGAUACCCUGGUAGUCCACGCCGUAAACGAUGAGUGCUAAGUGUUAGGGGGUUUCCGCCCCUUAGUGCUGCAGCUAACGCAUUAAGCACUCCGCCUGGGGAGUACGGCCGCAAGGCUG
rnacentral:rRNA from 1 species